rnacentral:rRNA from 1 species
GACGAACGCUGGCGGCGUGCUUAACACAUGCAAGUCGAGCGGUAAGGCCCUUUCGGGGGUACACGAGCGGCGAACGGGUGAGUAACACGUGGGCGACCUGCCCUCAGCUCUGGGAUAAGCCUGGGAAACUGGGUCUAAUACUGGAUAUGACUCCACGGUGCAUGUCGUGGGGUGGAAAGCCUUGUGCGGCUGAGGAUGGGCCCGCGGCCUAUCAGCUUGUUGGUGGGGUGANGGCCUACCAAGGCGACGACGGGUAGCCGGCCUGAGAGGGCGACCGGCCACACUGGGACUGAGACACGGCCCAGACUCCUACGGGAGGCAGCAGUGGGGAAUCUUGCGCAAUGGGCGAAAGCCUGACGCAGCGACGCCGCGUGAGGGAUGACGGCC